rnacentral:rRNA from 1 species
AGAGUUUGAUCAUGGCUCAGAUUGAACGCUGGUGGUAUGCUUAACACAUGCAAGUCGAACGGACGGAAGGUAGCUUGCUAUUGGAAGUUAGUGGCGGACGGGUGAGUAACGCGUAGGAAUCUGCCGUAUAGUGGGGGACAACAGUUGGAAACGGCUGCUAAUACCGCAUGACACCUUCGGGUCAAAGAUUGCCUUUGUGCAGUCGCUAUACGAUGAGCCUGCGUUGGAUUAGCUAGUUGGUAGGGUAAAGGCCUACCAAGGCUAUGAUCCAUAGCUGUUCUGAGAGGAAGAUCAGCCACACUGGGACUGAGACACGGCCCAGACUCCUACGGGAGGCAGCAGUGGGGAAUAUUGGACAAUGGAGGCAACUCUGAUCCAGCAAUACCACGUGUGUGAAGAAGGCCUUAGGGUUGUAAAGCACUUUAGUUGGGGAGGAAGGUUGUUAGGUUAAGAGCUAGACAACUGACGUACCCAAA